UAAUACUAGUUACUAAGGAUUCAUAUC
rnacentral:piRNA from 1 species